UAAAAUAUUAUCUAAAUAUUAAAUUCGUAAUUACAAAAAUAACCAAAAAGACUAAACACGUUAAAAUAAAAACUGCAGGUCCUUAGUUGACAACACGCGCCCACGCCUUAUCAACAAAGUUCUUCUGAAGCUCAUAAUUUCUCCAGGAAAACAAUCAUCCUCAAACAUCAUCUUGUAGCUCAAUUUUAGCACCAAUCAAUAGAAUUGCACCUACAAAAAUAAAACACAAGUAAAUCACUAUUAUUAAGUGCAAAACAUCGAUAUGAAGGGAAGUAAACAAUGCAAAACUAGUGCAUAAAUUGCACUCUAACAAAUUCCCCCACACCAAGAUAAUGCUUGUCCUCUAGCAUAUAACUCAAGACUAAUCACAAAUCUCCACUCAAUUCUCAUCUCAACUCAUCCAAAAACAAUCUUAAGCAAGCAUACCUCAAGAAUUUAAGUCGAUCAACAUUCGAGAGAUAAGGAUUUUAAAGCAUAGGAUCUCAUAAGCUAAUAUAAAAGAAAAACAUUCAACCACCAAGAAGAUCCAUUUAAAAUUCAAGUGCAACAAGAUUUAAUAGCCAUCUCAUUGACUUCACUCCAUGCACUCAAAGUGUUUAAGGUAUCAUUUAUGCACUCAAAUCAAAUCAAAGAAUGCUAUUACCAUAAGCUUGCUUAUAUAUCACAUCUCAAUCCACAAAACAUGAAUUAAAUGCAAAAAUCUAAGGGUCUUAAAAAGGUUGUAACGGGGUUAAAUGGGUUAAAUGAAAAAGAAAGGCUUAUGAAAGAAAAAGAGAUCAAAAUGAGAAGAAUGAACUCAUUGAAUGAACCUUAUGAUAUCAAAACGUUUAUUUCUACUCAAGUCACCAAGAAUGUUAACAUUUUUUUCUCUUUUCUUUUUUUUUCUCGAUUUUUUUUCGAUUUUUUUUUGUUUUUUGUUUUUUUGAAUCAAAACAAAAGAAAUGAACCUUGCACAAUUUAAUUCAAGCAUAAUGCUUGUUGAUCUAAUUGAGAAACUUUAAUUUAAGGUAGCAAGAGCAACAAAAUAUAUCCAAACAAUGAGUCCAAAAAUUUCCUUAAAUUGAGGCUCAAAAAGAAGGAAAAUGGGUAAGUAGAUAGAGAGAAUUAGAUGGGUAAUGGUUUAGGCUCAAACAAAGAUAACAAAUAAAGGUCUUCGGGUGGAGAAAAAGAAGAAAAAUGCGAAAAUAGAAAAAUGGAAAGUGGUUUAACCUUAUCAUUUUAAUCCAUAAAAUCCCGUAAUGCGGCUUCAACAUGCAUAACAAAGCAAGUUCUAGAAUAAACAAACUAAGAUUGAUAUUCACAUAACAAAAAUAAUUAAGAGCAAAGUGGUUGCUCAUAGGCUCAAAUCCUCACAAAGUUGAUAAUUUGCCAUCAAAUCAUGUACACUCUUCAAAUGAAUCAACCAUCAAUAGUGGUGUAGAAUGAGAAGAAGGAAUGAGUGAUAUAUAAAAGGAAAAGUAAAAAGGAUAAGAAGCGAGAAAGAUGUAUGUAGUAAUAUAAAAAGUGAAAGAUAAAAUGUGAGUGAUGAAAUAGUUUGAUAAAAUAAAAAUAGAUGUAAAUAAUUUGAGAUAGAUGGGAAAAGAGUAGUGAGAAAGAAAAGAAAAAAUAUAUGAAGCAUAUUAACUCCAAAAUCAUUUAAGGAUGAGCAGAGUGAAAAUAAUACUUCCAGACAUCAAUAUUGCAAAAAUCCAUCCCCCACACCAAGAACUUUGUCCCCAAUGUAAGAUAAUCAAAGCUCACAUAAAAAAUUAAAACGUAAUGAUAAAAGAUUAAAGGCAAAACUUCCCUGAAUUGUGAGCUUUGAUCCACAUAACGUCUAUGGGCUUACUGGAAAUGGUGGGAUAAAUCCCACACUCUCGAAGUAUGUGGCCAAAUUCUACUCCAUCUUGUUCAGCUUGUGCUCCAUUUUCUCUAACUGAAUGCUCAAAGGUGGUGCAGAUGUAGAAGGAAUAGUUGGUGGAGCAGCAAUUUCGUCAAACUCGUCAUCAGAGGUAGCACCACUCCUAGCAUAAAGCUUCUUUGGAAGUUGAGUGGGUCCUGGUUCAGUAAACUGAAAUCUCAUCUCCUUGCUUUCGACCACAAAUGUUCUUUCAAAUACAUACAUAUCCAAAAUUCCUUUUUGCAAGCAGGGUGCAAAUCAUUAUUGUCAGGAUCAAGCACACAUAAGUUUAUAGCUAACAGAGUAAUGUAUGGACCAAGAAAUAAAGUCAUAUACCAUUUAAGCACACUCUGAAAUUGAUCUGCUAACCAAAAACCUAGAUUAGGCCUCACAUCAUUUAACAUGCACCAGAUAAAAUAAAACUCAGUUUUAAAGAAAACUCCCGAGUGAUAUUUUUUUCCCUAAAAAAUUAUAUGCUAAGAACCAAUGCACACAUUUCAAAACAGGAUCACGUAAGAAAGAGUUAUUUGAUUUACUCAGGUCGUAGGCAUUGUGAUCAAAAGAUAAAUUACGCCAAAGACCAUAAGACUCAAAAUUUUCGCUAAAGUCACAAGUUGUUCAUAAAUAUGCAUCAUUAGAAGAAUAAUCAUCAUCAAUGAAUCCUAAAGCUAGGUUAAAAUUUGUGAUAGAUUGUGAAAAAUUUCGUCUCAUUAACCUAAACUUUAUAACAUUCGUAGUAUGCAAAGUAAAAUCAUUUGGUAUAUUAAAUUGAAAAGUAGCAUAGAACUCCCUAAUCAACUCAACAUAACCCAAACAAUCAACAUCAACAAACUUACGCAAACCAAUCUUAUCUAUCAAAGAAUCAAAAUUAUCCUUAACAUUCAAUUUUUCAAGAGUCGGGUAAUAAAUAUACUUAGCUGGAAGUAUUUUUCGCUUGGAAAUAUCUUUGUACCUUUCUUUCUCUUGUUGAGUCAUGAAUGUGAGGCAACCUCCGAGAUUGGAUUCAGCAAGUGGCAAAACACUCAUGCCUUUUCCAUGUUUCGAUCUUUGUCUCACGGCUUGGCAUGAAUUUGAAAUUGUGUUCCAUGGGACCGUAGUGGAAGCAACAAUCUUAGAUUUCUUUGCGGGAUUGCUGGAUGAGGCUGGUGUUGCGGGAUGGUUGUGGGACGCUGGGCUGACGGGAGAUGCUUGCGCGCGCGGCUGGUGCGCGAUGGACGCGGGACUGCUAGUGCUUGAGCUGGUUGAGCUCAACUGCUGGUGUGCUGCAGGAUUGCUGGAGAUACAGGAUGGUUGCGGGACGCGGGCUGGUGCUGCGGGAUUGCUAGAGAUGCGGGACUGCUAGUGGAGUGAGGAGCUGGUUGCGCGGCUGGAGGUUGCUGGAGACGCGGCUGUUGGAUGCGGGCUAGGGAGAGAGGCGGCUCAAUGAAAACAAUGGAAUGCGUUAGGUUUUUUUUAAUUUUUUUUUCAAAUAAAAUAAAAAAUAAAAACUUUUUAUUUUUGAUUUUUUUUCAAAUAAAAAAAUUAAAUAAAUAGAAAAAAACUUUUUAUUUUUUAUUUUUAUUUUACUAAAAACUAAAAAAAGACACUUAAGACACUAAAAAAAAUUACAGAAGUAUUUUUUUAAUAAGCAUAUGAGCACGCCUUAAAAUCAUUUUACUUUAAAAUCACAAAAGUACUUAUUAGUUAACACGUGGGCACGGCUAACCAAAAAUUUUCUUCUGGCCAAAAUAAGCAAAAAUAUUAUUUAAACAAUCUGAAUCAAAAUUAAAAACAAAAGAUAUAACAAAAAUCAAAAUAAAUAAAUCCUUUGGGUUGCCUCCCAAAAAGUGCAUUUGUUUUAUGUCUUUGGCUAGACACAUUCAUGCAUCAAUCUCCAUAAAUGGGACUCUCGAGAGCUACUUCCUCCACAAUAUUCACCAAUAAACCUUCAUAAAAAGGUUUUAAGCGAUGACCAUUAACCUUAAAAACUUUGUCAGAGGUCGAACUCCGAAUCUCAACUGCACCGUGAGGAAAAACAUUAGUAACAAUAAAAGGUCCUACCCAGCGAGAACCUAAUUUACCAGGAAAACGUUUAAGCUUAGAAUGAAAAAGAAGAACUUUUUGACCAACAGAGAACUCCUUUCUCAAAAUCAUUCUGUCAUGAAAUAUCUUCGUCUUUUCCUUGUAAAAUCGCGAACUCUCAUAGGAUUCGUUUCUAAUCUCCUCUAGUAGUAUUUUAUGCAUGCACGUGGACGAACUUAUCCCUUUAAUAUCAGCAAUUGUCCACCCAAUAGCCUUUUUGUAAUCCUUCAGCACGCUAAUAAGCUUUUCUUCCUCUAAAGUACUAAGCUUUGAAGAGAUGAUAACCGGAAGUGUCUCACCACCUCCUAGAAACAUGUACUUUAGAUGACUAGGCAACGGUUUAAACUCUAUUUUCGAUGCCUGCAAAAUAAAUGGAAGAAGUUUUGCAUGAGAUGAAGGUAAUUCAACAUAAGACAUAUGAUGAGUUAAAGUUCUCAAAGAAUUUAAUUCAUAAAUUGUCUCUUGCAAUACAGAAUUUAAAAAGAAAACUCAUUUUCAUCCUUUUGCAAUCCUUUGAGACUCAAACUGUUAUUUAAAGCAACUACCAAUGAAUCUUCAACAUCCAAAUAAAAAACUUCCUGCACUAUAGGGUUAAUAACAUCUACAGAAAAUACUGAAUGUUCCUCACCAGGAUAAUUCAUGGCAUCAUUCAUAUUGAACUCUAUAACCUCUCCAUCAAACUCCAUAGUAAGAGUCCCUUUAUGUACAUCCAUUUUAGUCCUAGCAGUCUUAAGAAAAGGUCUUCCUACCAAAAUUGAGACAGAAUUAGAGGAGUUAUCCUCUUCCAUAUCAAGUACAUAAAAAUCAGCAGGAAAAACCAACUCAUUAACUUGUACUAAGACAUCUUCUAAUACCCCAUCAGGAUAUGCAUUAGACCUAUCCGCUAGUUGAAUUAUCACGCCAGUUUCUUUUAAUGGACCAAUAUUCAAAGAUGAAUAAAUGGAACGAGGCAUGACAUUAAUAGAAACUCCUAGAUCUAACAUAGCCUUCUCAACUCUAACACUACCAAAUUUGCAAGGGAUAAUAAACAUACCUGGAUCCUUGCACUUAUGAGGUAGUUUCUUUUGGAGAACUGCUGAAACAUUCUCCCCCAUUUGAACUCUUUCAUCUCCUCUUAAUUUUCUCUUGGAGGUGCACAGUUCCUUAAGGAAUUUAGCAUAUCAAGGUAUUUUUUUAUAGCAUCUAAUAAAGGAAUAUUUACCUCAACCUUGCGAAAUGUCUCAAUGAUGUCUUUCUCUUAUUCCCCCUUCUUGGAUUUUGCAAACCGGCUUGGAAAAGGAGGAGGUAUCACCAUAGGUAGGGGUUUCGCUCUGGUGGGUUGCGCAUCUUGAGAUUUAGGCAUCAAUUCAUUCUUCUCAAGCUCAUCUUCUACAUGAUUAACAAUUUCUUCAAGAGAUAUACCUGACUUGGGUUUUUUGACUGUGGAGGGAUUGGUUGUCUUGGUGGGUAUUGUUGUGGGAAUCCUAAUGGCCUAACUCCAUAGCUGAAGUUUGGAUGAUCCUUCCAUCCCGGAUUGUAUGUUUGUACAUAAGGAUCAUACCUCCUCUGAGGCAUGCCUGGAAAUCCUCCAACUGCAUUGGCUUGUUCAACGGGUUCUUCUUGAAGUGUAGGACAUAUAUAAGUUGAAUGACCCAUAUUGGAACAAAUGUCAUAAGUCUUCACCUGUUGCACAUUACCUACAACAAACUUUUCCACAAGAGAAGUAAGUUUAUCUAAACGUUGUUCAAUAGAAGAACUAUUUACCUCAUUCACCUUCCUUGAAUUGGGAUCUUGCCUGUUGCCAAACUGUUGUGCAUUGGCAGCCAUAUUUGAGAUCAACUUCGUUGCGUGAAUAGGGGUCUUGUUCACCAACACACCUCCACUAGCAGCAUCUAUCAUACUCCUAUCCAUCAAUGACAGUCCUUCGUAAAAAUAUUGAAUAAGAAGUUGAUCAGAAAUCUGAUGCUGAGGAUAGCUGGCACACAAUUGUUUAAAUCGCUCCCAAUACUCAUACAAAGUCUCCCCAGGAAGUUGUCUGAUCCCACAAAUGUCUUUUCUGAUGUUGGCAGCUCUUGAAACAGGAAAGUACUUCUCGAGGAACUGCUUCUUCAAACCAUUCCAUGUUGUAAUCGAUCUAGGAGACAAGUAGUACAACCAGUCUUUAGCUAGCCCAUCUAAAGAGAAAGGAAAAGUACGCAGCUUGAUCUGCUCUUCAGUCACGCCUUGUGGCCUCAUACUUGAACAUACAACAUAACACUCCUUGAGAUGUUUAUGAGGAUCUUCACCUGCAAAACCAUGAAACUUGGGUAAUAAAUAAAUAAGACCAGACUUUAAUUCAAAAUUUACCUCCAAGUCUACAUAUUGAAUGCAGAGUGGUUGUUGAUUCAAGUCUGGUUCAACUAACUCUCUAAAAGUUCUUUCUACUGGUGCAACUCUAUCCAUCACUUGUUCUUCUGAAUCCCUAGAUGAUUCAACCAAAUCAGGCAUCGUAUCUGUUUCAAAAAGCAAAGGCGAUGAGGAUCGUUGCUUAGCUCGCUUCGUUUGUUGUCUCAGCUGGCAAGCUGUCUUCUCAAUUUCAGGAUCAAACGAAAGUGUACCUGUACGAGAAGAAUGAACCAUACACCAAGUAAAAUGUAAAAAGGAUUAAAUAAACGACACCAAUCCCCGGCAACGGCGCCAAAAUUUGAUGGUUGUCGAAGCCAGCAAAAAUAAAUACCUACUCUAAAUAAAUUGUGUAUAGUGAUUGAGCAGGGUCGUGGCCAUGGAGAUCGGUAAUUAUUUAAAUCCUUUUAAAAUGUAAAAUGCAAAAUGGGGGAAUUGUUGACAAUAAUAAAAUCAAAUUAAAAUAACAAGAAUGUAAAUUAAAAUUGUAAUUCAAAAUAGGGAAAGCUCUGGUUGAAGGAAUUAACUCAGUUUGAAUCGACUACUGAUCAUUGAUUCAAAUAUAAAUCAUUACUGCUUAUGAAUAGACCGGUUAUAGUUACUGAGACCCUCUAAUAGCCAAUCUCUCCUUAACUAGUCGAUAACUAAGGUACGAUCGUUGGUUAUUUCCCUAAUCAAUAGACAACCCUAGAUACAAUCAUAUGAUUUAAUCAAUUGACAGCCUGAAAAAGCAGAGAGACCCAAAUCCUAAUCAACAAGCGCAUACGAUGGUUCAUUUAAAUUAUAUUGUUUAUUCUCAUAACAUAACGCACUACUAUGUUAUUUGUCACAAACAUUAAAAUCUUCAUACGAUGAAUCUUUUAAUUGACAAUAGAUUAAAUUGAUAAUUAAAUAGUGGCCAAUUAUCUAAUUAACAAAUAUAAUCAUGACAAUAAUUCAGAGAAUAAACAAAUACCCAAAAAGUAAUAAAACAAUUAAAGCAAAAGAAAGAUCUCACAGUAGUGACGAAUCAAAACUUCAUUAACCUUCAACCAGAAUAAUAGGUUUAGUUCUUCAUAGAGAGAAGAGAAAAAUUUAGAUCUAGGGUUUCUUUCUUUUCAAAAAUCUCCUCCUUUGACAAUAGAUUCCUCUCUUAAAUUCUCCUCUCUCUCUUCUCCUCUAGAGUUCUUUUUAAAAUAAAAUACUAAUAUCUAAAAUAUUAUCUAAAUAUUAAAUUCGUAAUUACAAAAAUAACCAAAAAGACAAAACACGUUAAAAUAAAAAAUGUAGGUCCUUAGUUGACAGCACGCGCCCACGCCUUAUCAACAAAGUUUUUCUGAAGCUCAUAAUUUCUCUAGGAAAACAAUCAUCCUCAAACAUCAUCUUGUAGCUCAAUUUUAGCACCAAUCAAUAGAAUUGCACCUACAAAAAUAAAACACAAGUAAAUCACUAUUAUUAAGUGCAAAACAUCGAUAUUAAAAGAAGUAAACAAUGCAAAACUAGUGCGUAAAUUGCACUCUAACAAUAAAUAUAAUGGAGGACAUUUGCUUCCUUUCUCAUAUUAAUUUGAGUACAAGUCAUUUUCUUUAAGGAAAAAAAGUAAUUAAGCUAGAUAAAAUACAACACACUAAUAUUUUGAUAGAAUAAUAAGGGAAAAGGACGCCUACUCCCAAGAUUUGAAGAAAUGGUCAGAAAGAUUCUAGAGUUUUUAAUAAAAGACAUCAAAACCCUCUUUUGACCAUAAUAUUUUUUACUUUAAAAACCCAAAA
rnacentral:lncRNA from 1 species